CCUACGGGUGGCUGCAGUGGGGAAUAUUGGACAAUGGGCGAAAGCCUGAUCCAGCCAUGCCGCGUGUGUGAAGAAGGCCUUCGGGUUGUAAAGCACUUUCAGUGGGGAAGAAAGCCUUGGGGCUAAUACCCUCGAGGAAGGACAUCACCCACAGAAGAAGCACCGGCUAACUCCGUGCCAGCAGCCGCGGUAAUACGGAGGGUGCGAGCGUUAAUCGGAAUUACUGGGCGUAAAGCGCGCGUAGGCGGUCUGAUAAGCCGGUUGUGAAAGCCCCGGGCUCAACCUGGGAACGGCAUCCGGAACUGUCAGGCUAGAGUGCAGGAGAGGAAGGUAGAAUUCCCGGUGUAGCGGUGAAAUGCGUAGAGAUCGGGAGGAAUACCAGUGGCGAAGGCGGCCUUCUGGACUGACACUGACGCUGAGGUGCGAAAGCGUGGGUAGCAAACAGGAUUAGAUACCCCAGAGUC
rnacentral:rRNA from 1 species